UAUUGAAACAUCGGUUCCCGUACGAUCACCGAGGUUAAGCAACGUUGCGCCUGGUCAGUACCAAUACGGGAGGCCGCUUGAGAAUACCAGGAGCUGUAAG